rnacentral:rRNA from 1 species
AACGAACGCUGGCGGCAUGCCUAACACAUGCAAGUCGAACGCUCCGCAAGGGGAGUGGCGCACGGGUGAGUAACACGUGGGAAUCUGCCUUUCGGUUCGGAAUAACUUCGGGAAACUGAGGCUAACACCGGAUACGCCCUGAGGGGGAAAGUUUACGCCGAAAGAGGAGCCCGCGUCCGAUUAGGUAGUUGGUGGGGUAAAGGCCUACCAAGCCGACGAGCGGUAGCUGGUCUGAGAGGAUGAUCAGCCACACUGGGACUGAGACACGGCCCAGACUCCUACGGGAGGCAGCAGUGGGGAAUAUUGGACAAUGGGCGGAAGCCUGAUCCAGCAAUGCCGCGUGAGUGAUGAAGGCCCUAGGGUUGUAAAGCUCUUUCGCACGCGACGAUGAUGACGGUAGCGUGAGAAGAAGCCCCGGCUAACUUCGUGCCAGCAGCCGCGGUAACAC